GGAGGUAUCAGAAGUGCGAAUGCUGACAUAAGUAACGAUAAAGCGGGUGAAAAGCCCGCUCGCCGGAAGACCAAGGGUUCCUGUCCAACGUUAAUCGGGGCAGGGUGAGUCGACCCCUAAGGCGAGGCCGAAAGGCGUAGUCGAUGGGAAACAGGUUAAUAUUCCUGUACUUGGUGUUACUGCGAAGGGGGGACGGAGAAGGCUAUGUUGGCCGGGCGACGGUUGUCCCGGUUUAAGCGUGUAGGCUGGUUUUCCAGGCAAAUCCGGAAAAUCAAGGCUGAGGCGUGAUGACGAGGCACUACGGUGCUGAAGCAACAAAUGCCCUGCUUCCAGGAAAAGCCUCUAAGCAUCAGGUAACAUCAAAUCGUACCCCAAACCGACACAGGUGGUCAGGUAGAGAAUACCAAGGCGCUUGAGAGAACUCGGGUGAAGGAACUAGGCAAAAUGGUGCCGUAACUUCGGGAGAAGGCACGCUGAUAUGUAGGUGAGGUCCCUCGCGGAUGGAGCUGAAAUCAGUCGAAGAUACCAGCUGGCUGCAACUGUUUAUUAAAAACACAGCACUGUGCAAACACGAAAGUGGACGUAUACGGUGUGACGCCUGCCCGGUGCCGGAAGGUUAAUUGAUGGGGUUAGCGCAAGCGAAGCUCUUGAUCGAAGCCCCGGUAAACGGCGGCCGUAACAAUAACGGUCCUAAGGUAGCGAAAUUCCUUGUCGGGUAAGUUCCGACCUGCACGAAUGGCGUAAUGAUGGCCAGGCUGUCUCCACCCGAGACUCGGUGAAAUUGAACUCGCUGUGAAGAUGCAGUGUACCCGCGGCAAGACGGAAAGACCCCGUGAACCUUUACUAUAGCUUGACACUGAACAUUGAGCCUUGAUGUGUAGGAUAGGUGGGAGGCUUUGAAGUGUUGACGCCAGUCUGCAUGGAGCCGACCUUGAAAUACCACCCUUUAAUGUUUGAUGUUCUAACGUUGACCCGUAAUCCGGGUUGCGGACAGUGUCUGGUGGGUAGUUUGACUGGGGCGGUCUCCUCCUAAAGAGUAACGGAGGAGCACGAAGGUUGGCUAAUCCUGGUCGGACAUCAGGAGGUUAGUGCAAUGGCAUAAGCCAGCUUGACUGCGAGCGUGACGGCGCGAGCAGGUGCGAAAGCAGGUCAUAGUGAUCCGGUGGUUCUGAAUGGAAGGGCCAUCGCUCAACGGAUAAAAGGUACUCCGGGGAUAACAGGCUGAUACCGCCCAAGAGUUCAUAUCGACGGCGGUGUUUGGCACCUCGAUGUCGGCUCAUCACAUCCUGGGGCUGAAGUAGGUCCCAAGGGUAUGGCUGUUCGCCAUUUAAAGUGGUACGCGAGCUGGGUUUAGAACGUCGUGAGACAGUUCAGUCCCUAUCUGCCGUGGGCGCUGGAGAACUGAGGGGGGCUGCCCCUAGUACGAGAGGACCGGAGUGGACGCAUCACUGGUGUUCGGGUUGUCAUGCCAAUGGCACUGCCCGGUAGCUAAAUGCGGAAGAGAUAAGUGCUGAAAGCAUCUAAGCACGAAACUUGCCCCGAGAUGAGUUCUCCCUGACUCCUUGAGAGUCCUGAAGGAACGUUGAAGACGACGACGUUGAUAGGCCGGGUGUGUAAGCGCAGCGAUGCGUUGAGCUAACCGGUACUAAUGAAGCAAAG
rnacentral:rRNA from 1 species